rfam:Gossypium hirsutum cultivar TM-1 chromosome 10, whole genome shotgun sequence
UAUUAAAAAUUUUAUUUACUUGUAUUGUUAAAAUCUGACAUGCUUGAUGGAAUAACUAAAUUGUGAUAUCUGGAGUGUCACAUUUACGUCACGUUGAUAUACAUAAAUCAAUUUUUAACAAUAGAAAUGAUGAAAUUUUUAAUA